UACGGAGGGGGCUAGCGUUGUUCGGAAUUACUGGGCGUAAAGCGCACGUAGGCGGCUUUGUAAGUUAGAGGUGAAAGCCCGGAGCUCAACUCCGGAAUUGCCUUUAAGACUGCAUCGCUCGAAUCAUGGAGAGGUGAGUGGAAUUCCGAGUGUAGAGGUGAAAUUCGUAGAUAUUCGGAAGAACACCAGUGGCGAAGGCGACUCACUGGACAUGUAUUGACGCUGAGGUGCGAAAGCGUGGGGAGCAAACAGG
rnacentral:rRNA from 1 species